AUUGAACGCUGGCGGAAUGCUUUACACAUGCAAGUCGAGCGGCAGCGCGGGAGGGGUAACCUGACUGGCGGCGAGCGGCGAACGGGUGAGUAAUGCAUCGGAACGUACCCAGUCGUGGGGGAUAACGUGGCGAAAGUCACGCUAAUACCGCAUACGUCCUGAGGGAGAAAGCAGGGGAUCGCAAGACCUUGCGCUGAUUGAGCGGCCGAUAUCAGAUUAGCUAGUUGGUGAGGUAAAGGCUCACCAAGGCGACGAUCUGUAGCGGGUCUGAGAGGAUGAUCCGCCACACUGGAACUGAGACACGGCCCAGACUCCUACGGGAGGCAGCAGUAGGGAAUUUUCGGCAAUGGGGGAACCCUGACCGAGCAAUGCCGCGUGAAUGAAGACGAUCUUCGGAUUGUAAAGUUCUGUUAUUGGGAAAGAAGAUAUGGCGAGGAAAUGCGUUAUAUUUGACGGUACCUGAUGAGAAAGCCCCGGACUAACUA
rnacentral:rRNA from 1 species